rnacentral:lncRNA from 1 species
GCCAUGGCUGUGUGCUUGGCCCACAGCUACUCCAGGUAUGGCACAACCAGCUUCCACAUUGGGCGCUGGUGUCUGGAUGAGGGGGAUGUGGCAGCGCCCAAAAACUCAGAGAUGCCAGUGUGUCCGAAAUUGGCAGGUUCUUGGUCUCACUGACUUGAAGAAUGAAGCCGUGGACCCUCACGUUGUGGCAGGAACAUUCGCAGCUCCCUGAAUAUUCCUGUGCUCCCCCACAUUUCCAGUCCCUUUACAGUUAAAGCCGUGUGACUUGUUUGAGCCAAUAGAGUGGAAGUGGAAGAGAAGUAUGUCACUGCGAGACUGAAGGAAUAAAGAGCUGAUGUGUCAUCCUUCAUUUCUCCCUUGCCUCUGUACGAUAACCGGGAGUUCCCAUUUUGAGAAGUACAGCCACAAAGGACACUUGUUAGAACUGAGUCAUCACCAGCAAGAUCUACAAUGAACUUUGAGCAAAAGCAAACUUAAUGUCUUAAGCCACUGAGAUGUUGGGGUUUGUAUGUUACCACCAGCCUGACUGCUACAACCAGUUUUUCAUACUUUAUGCACAAUCUAGAAAUCCUUCAUAAUUCUGAGUAAAAACAGUGAUAGGGAGCAUUAUUUUUUAUCUUGUUCUUAACUUUAAAGGGACUGCUUCAACUGCUUUGGCAUUAAGAACCAUGUUUGCUGAUGGGUUUUGUUAGAAUAGUCAUCAUUAUGUGAGGGACAUUUCCUUGUCCUCCUAGUUUUGUGUGAGCUUCUGUCAUGAAUGAGAGUUGAUUUCUUUUUUUUUUUUUUUUCUUGAGACAGGAUCUUACUCUGUCACUCAGGCUGGAGUACAGUGGCUUCAUUAUGGCUCACUGCAGCCUUGACUUCCCAGGCUUAAGUGAUCCCCCAACCUCAGCCUCCUGAAUAGCUGGAACCACAGGCGUGUGUUACCAUGCCUGGCUAAUUUUUUGUUUGUUUCUUUGUUUGUAGAGACAUGGUCUCCCUAUGUUGUUUAGGCUGGUCUUGAACUCCUGUCUCAGCCUCCCAAAGUGUUGGGAUUACAAUCAUGAGCCACUGUGCCUGGCAAGUGUUGAAUUGUACCAAAGGUUUUUCCUGAAUCUAUUGAGGUGAUGAUUUUUCUUUUUUUUCUUUUUCUUUUUUUUUUUUUUUGAGAUGGAGUCUCGCUCUGUCGCCCAGGAGAUGGAGUCUCGCUCUGUCGCCCAGGCUGGAGUGCGGUGGCGUGAUCUCUGCUCACUGCAAGCUCCGCCUCCCGGGUUCACGCCAUUCUCCUGCCUCAGCCUCCCGAGGAGCUGCAACUACAGGCGCCCACCACCAUGCCUGGCUAAUUUUUUGUAUUUUUAGUAGAGACGGGGUUUCACCGUGUUAGCCAGGAUGGUUUGAACUCCUGAUCUGAAGUGAUCCGCCCGCCUCGGCCUCCCAAAGUUCUGGGAUUACAGGAGUGAGCCACCGCGCCCGGCCCUUUUUUUUUUUUGUGACGGAGUCUCGCUCUGUCGCCCAGGCUGGAGUGCAGUGGCGCAAUCCCAGCUCACUGCAAGCUCCGCCUCCCGGGUUCACGCUGUUUUCCUGCCUCAGCCUCCAGAGUAGCUGGGACUACAGGUGCCCGCUACCAUGCCUGGCUAAUUUUUUUGCAUUUUCGUAGAGACGGGGUUUCACUGUGUUAGCCAGGAUGGUCUUGAUCUCCUGACCUCGUGAUCCGCCUGCCUUGGCCUCCCAAAGUGUUGGGAUUACAGGUGUGAGCCACCGCGCCCGGUCGAGUUUUCUUCUUUAAUCUGGUGUUGAUCCUGAGAGUGCUUUGUUAAAAAACAUUCUCCAUGCUGACCUCCGUUUUCGAGUCCGCUUCCUGGGGAAACCUGAAACAGGACUUGAUGCUAGCAGCUGCCCAGAAGAACCAGAUGGGCCACUGUCCUUGCCAGAAGAUCUGAUAUCCUGUGUAUGGCCACCACCUAACACUGCUCACUUCUACAUGUAAACCUCAGUUGUCCCUCCAGUGAGUUUGUGUCACUCUUCACAGUCUGUAUUUCUCCUGCUUACAUGUGAUUCCCACAUGUUCUACAGAGUCUAAAGGCAUAUGAGGUAGCUGUAUAACAUUUCACAAGAUGAAUGUACCACAAAUUUUAAUCCUUCUAUUGUUGAUGGAUUUGGAUUAUUACCAACUUUUGGCCUUUGAGCCAGUCUAGGAUUCACGAUGUAACCAUGGAGCAGAUGCUUUGAGGUGAAUGACAUUUCCAGCAUUGAAGGACAGCAUAGACACGGAAAUACAUUUUAUGGCGUGCCAGUGGGUGUGGUGGGUCUCAGGGAUGCAAGGUGGGUGAGACUCCCUGUCUGUUCCUGAGGAGCUCUGGUGAGUGGGAAGGAGAAGGGAACACUCGAAGAGCAUGGCAGCCUUAAAGAGGCAGUGGGCUGAGGAGGCUCGCUCUGUGUUCAGAAAUUGGAACAGGGUUGUAGAAAGGAUGCUGUGUGGCUGUUAAAGUAAACUCCACCCAUUUUAGAAUUUUCCUUGGAAGCGGCCUCAAUGUCUAGAAAAGAGUGGGAAAAAUCUUUCCCCUUUUCAAAUUUGUUCUUUUUUG